UAAAAUUUAUACAUCAAAAAAUUACUCAGUCGAAAGAUGUUAUAAAAGUAACAUCAACUUUGUUAUCAGGCGAAAGAUGGUAAUGGUAAUGUGAUCAUCAUUAUAAAUUAUUUAUAAUGUAGAGCGAAAAUCAACCAACCUUCUAACAAGAGGACCCAGGACGUUUCCACUGUUUUCGUUGUUGUAGCCGUAGAGUCUCAUACUGCAUCGAUUCCAGUGCAUACGACGCGACUGCUGUUGAUUUCUUUUUUGUCGUUGUAACCAAAGUCAUAAACUUUAGAGAUGAAAUUGUUUACCAUCUUCUUUAGAUGAGCUGGGGUGCCCUGUAUCCAUGCUGAAAAUCUAAAUUCAAAAAAAUUACCUAAAACUCCUACCCAGAAAUAAAAACAAAAGAACAAUUUG